CCCGUGCUACAACCGCACACUUCAGGUAUCUAAGCUUUGCAAAUACGCAAACGCCUGCGGUUGGCGAGUCUGAGUCUAAUG
rfam:Bacillus selenatarsenatis SF-1 DNA, contig: BSSF00005.